CCCUCGCAUCCCCGAACAGUCAAUCCCUCCACUCCCCUCGAGCCCCGCUCCCCUCCUCCCCUGCCCUCAUCUGUGCCGCCUCCUCCUCCCUUGCGUCCGCCUACUCCCCCCUGCAUCGCCGCCUCCUCCCCUUCUCCCCUGCUCACCACUAAGCCGCCUCCUCUGCCCCUUCACUUUUCUCUCCUGCGGCGGCGACGACCUGCAGGCAAAAGGCGACGCUGACGGUGCUCGAUUCGAUCUCCAGGAGAGAGAGAAGAUAAGAGGGAGAGAGAGAGAAGGAAGGAGAGGAGGGAGAACUCCGUUGCCGCCGCGUGCCGUGCUUCUGGAUCGACCGCUGCCUGACCAAGGGAUAAGAGUAUGAGGUAAAAACUAAAAACCCUAGCCACCAUGUUCCUGUGUGGGCUGCAUCCCCACAUCUCCUGUUUCAUUAUUUCACCAUCGCUGCCUCUUCUCCUCUUCGUUGCUCUGCUUCUUUCCCUGAUUCCUCUUUUUCAUUUUUUUCUCUUUGUGGCACCGCCGGGGAUGAGAGGAGCAGCUGCUGAAGCAGGCGCGGCGCUGGUGCACUGCUGGUGAAGCGGUCGUCAACGGUGUCGUCGACGUCGUCCUUGGCAGAAGGUUGGUGCUUCCUCUCCUUCUCACUACAGCUACCUAUGCCUCUAUUAUUCUAGGAUUUUGCAAGUUAAAUACUCAUGUGUGCUGAACUGAAAAGUUCUCUAUGCAACAUCUAUUGCAGCUUCAUCGGCGUCAGCUUCAUCACCAAGAGGACGGACUCCGAAAGGCAACCUCCUCCCAAGGCGCCAGGACCGGUAACUCCCGGAACGUCCAUCCUUCCUUCCAUUAUUUUCUGGUGAUGCGCCGUUAGGUUGCUGACCAUAUGAUUGGUAGCAUUGGACAGAAGAGGGCCAGCAACAAACAGAAGCAACGACUAUCCUCUCCAGAACAUGCAGGGAUCAGCUUUGGUGGCAUCCGAUGCUCGCAAGCCAUGGCGUUAGAGCAGAGGAAGCUGACAUGGUGUUGAAAUUCAGAUGGUCAUUAUGAUCGACCAGAUGCUGCGCCUCAUGUCACCCCGAGCCUCCAGGGCUUGUUAGCGGUGCUCAUAAAAUUGACAAUUUCUGCCGACCCUUGUUGCACUCAAUGAUGGUUGAUGCCAACGUGGUCCAUUAGCAUCCUGGUUGUGGUUCUUAGUCCUGGUUUGAAGAGCUGCUCUGUUUGUUGGUGCUGGCAACAUCUAUGCGGUCAAGCUCAGGCCUCCAAAGAACAUCUCUGCAAACUCAAGAUUUUUUGUCAUUGUUCAAUUCCAGACCGAGGCACAUGCUUCGUUGGUGUUGAAUGCGGCCUAAGGGAAUGCACUUACGAGUGCAAGUACUUAUCUGAAGAUUCAAUAUGCAGAGCGUGACAUUGUUCCGAGACCAGGAACGAUGAUGUUUAAUCUACAGGGUGCAACACUGCAUUUUGGCUGCCUUAUGAGGGAAAGAGUUCUAUCUAUUCUGUGGAGCGGAAGGGAUGUUUCUGUUGAGUUUGGAUUUGCCAAGGCGGAGGCCACCGCCACUCUCGACGCCCUCUGUUGCGCGCUCUCGCCGGCGGCGUUCGCAAAGCCUUGUCGCGGCGCUGCAAGUGUUGCCCCCCUCCUCCCCAAGGGCAAGGUGAAGGAAGGUGCCUGUGUGGUUCUUCUGCAGCUCGCAGCGAGGAUUGCUAUGUCCAACCUGCACAAGAAUGCCAAGAAGUCCUUCUCGGAGAUGUAAACCACGGCGCAUGUUUUUGCCAUGAUUUCCUUCGGUUGGAUUUCAUGGAUUUAGGUGUUGAAAAAUUAUGGGCUCUGGAUGCAGGAUUAAGGACAUGUACCUGCACUACAACGAGAGAUCUGGGCUAUAUCUUUGUGGCUUCCAAACUUGAAAUGUUUGCCUGGAAGUUAGUUUAGUUUUCUGUUGUGGAUUCACAGCUUCUCACAUGUACUAUCGUCUUAGACCUUUAGAUUUCCAAAGAAACUAAAUGAAGAUAUGGUGGUAUGGUCUCAAUCAGACAACUUAAAGCCUUCCAUACUUUAUAUUUUCUA